rnacentral:tRNA from 1 species
CGGGAUGUAGCGCAGCCUGGUUUAGCGUACCUGCAUGGGGUGCAGGUGGUCGGAGGUUCGAAUCCUCUCAUCCCGACCA